AUGUGAUGAUGAAUUUGAAUUUCUUCACCUGAAGUUCAGUGUGUAGAUCAGAGAAACGAGCUUUUUAACCCUGAGCAUC